AACGAACGCUGGCGGCAGGCCUAACACAUGCAAGUCGAGCGCUGUAGCAAUACAGAGCGGCGCACGGGAUAAUAACGCGUGGGAACCUACCUUUUGGGUCGGAAUAACAUCGGGAAACUGGUGCUAAUACCGAAUAAGCCCUCCGGGGGAAAGAUUUAUUGCCGAAAGAUGGGCCCGCGUUGGAUUAGCUAGUUGGUGAGGUAAUGGCUCACCAAGGCUACGAUCCAUAGCUGGUCUGAGAGGAUGAUCAGCAUCACUGGGACUGAGACACGGCCCAGACUCCUACGGGAGGCAGCAGUGGGGAAUAUUGGACAAUGGGGGAAACCCUGAUCCAGCCAUGCCGCGUGAAUGAUGAAGGCCUUCGGGUUGUAAAGUUCUUUUGGUGGGGACGAUGAUGACGGUACCCACAGAAUAAGCUCCGGCUAACUUCGUGCCAGCAGCCGCAGUAA
rnacentral:rRNA from 1 species